rnacentral:rRNA from 1 species
GAUGAACGCUGGCGGCGUGCCUAAUACAUGCAAGUCGAGCGAACAGACGAGGAGCUUGCUCCUCUGACGUUAGCGGCGGACGGGUGAGUAACACGUGGAUAACCUACCUAUAAGACUGGGAUAACUUCGGGAAACCGGAGCUAAUACCGGAUAAUAUAUUGAACCGCAUGGUUCAAUAGUGAAAGACGGUUUUGCUGUCACUUAUAGAUGGAUCCGCGCCGCAUUAGCUAGUUGGUAAGGUAACGGCUUACCAAGGCAACGAUGCGUAGCCGACCUGAGAGGGUGAUCGGCCACACUGGAACUGAGACACGGUCCAGACUCCUACGGGAGGCAGCAGUAGGGAAUCUUCCGCAAAGGGCGAAAGCCUGACGGAGCAACGCCGCGUGAGUGAUGAAGGUCUUCGGAUCGUAAAACUCUGUUAUUAGGGAAGAGCAAAUGUGUAAGUAACUAUGCACAUCUUGACGGUACCUAAUCAGAAAGCCACGGCUAACUACGUG